UACAGAGGUGGCAAGCGUUGUUCGGAAUUACUGGGCGUAAAGGGCGCGUAGGCGGUCUUCUAAGUCUUGUGUGAAAUCCCUCGGCUCAACUGAGGAACUGCACGGGAUACUGGAAGACUUGAGUUCGGGAGAGGGAAGCGGAAUUCCGGGUUUAGCGGUGAAAUGCGUAGAUAUCCGGAGGAACACCGGUGGCGAAGGCGGCUUCCUGGACCGAUUACUGACGCUGAGGCGCGAAAGCUAGGGGAGCAAACGGG
rnacentral:rRNA from 1 species